GCUGCUUUAGCUCAGUGGUAGAGCGCAUCCUUGGUAAGGAUGAGGUCCCGUGUUCAACUCUCGGAAGCAGCUCCA
rnacentral:tRNA from 1 species